GACGAACGUUGGCGGCGUGCUUAAUACAUGCAAGUCCACUGAAGCAGUGGUAGCAAUAUCGCUGUGGAGGUGGCGCACGGGUGAGUAACACGUAGGUAAUCUGCCUUCAGGUCUGGCAUAACUCCGGGAAACCGGGGCUAAUAGCAGAUGAUGCAGCGGCUCGACAUCGAGACAGUUGUUAAAGCCAUGGCGCCUGAAGAUGAGCCUGCGUCUGAUUAGCUAGUUGGCGGGGUAACGGCCCACCAAGGCAACGAUCAGUAGCUGGUCUGAGAGGAUGAUCAGCCACACUGGAACUGAGACACGGUCCAGACUCCUACGGGAGGCAGCAGUAAGGAAUAUUGCUCAAUGGGAGAAGUCCUGAAGCAGCAACGCCGCGUGAGGGACGAAGGGCUUUGGCUUGUAAACCUCUGUAGUGAGAGAAAAAAAUCCCAAUCUUUGGGACAUGAUGGUAUCUCAAAAGUAAGCCCCGGCUAACUACGUG
rnacentral:rRNA from 1 species